UCCAUUCUUUUGUUUUGUUUUUGUUACGGCCGUGGGCCGUCUGGGUUUGGCUCCUUUGUCUGUCCUCUCUUUCGUUCUUCCAGGCACAGGUGCAGUGCUUCACAUAAUUGCAAAACACAGAAUAAAAGCCCCGCCGUGACUCCUCGAGAGCGGCACCCUUUGGACGUCCUGGGAACUUCUUACCCCGCAGGGUUUCCGCCGCCGCUGCUCCUCGGUUUCCUGCUGGCCUCCUGGCUUCCUGUUUCCGGUUUUCGGCUGAUGCUGCCGCUGUCUGACGUCGCCACCUCCUCUCUCCUGGAUGUCCCUGGUUUUGGUCCGAUGGGCGGUUGGAACAUAAAAUAAAACGUUUCUAAACCUUCAAACUCUGCCCAUCCACCUACAGCAAUAUGGGCCACCUGGUCUCAGCCUUAUGAGCGGAGUGAUGACCUCACUCCCUGAACAGCGCAGUGCAGACCAACACAAGCCUGCUGCCAUUUUCCUGGCUGCUCUUCUCCAUGUUUCGCCCCCUGAUGGUGAAGUAUAGAUCUCCAACAUAAUGAGGUCAUUUUCCCACCUCCUUUUGCUGGACAGCGCUUGGGACAAGCCUUAGCGACCCCCUGACCCCGUCAUGGAAUCAGCAGCUUAAGAAAAUAAAAUACAUUUUCAUUUCUAUCAAUUAUUUAUUCGUCUUUGUUUUUGCCAAACUUCUUGGGUUUUGCACAUUUUAAAAUUCAGUUAAGUCAUAAUCUUGGUUCUUUUUAUUAGACUUUUUAUAAUACUUAAAGUUGCUUUGAAGUUUUUGCCAUCCUGCUGCGACCGCCUGCAUUUGGAUCCUCCAGCUCCACCAUCCCUGACAGCAGUGACGUGCUGUGAGCCACUUAUUCCUUUGGGAUCACAUUUAAAAAUUCAGGAACUAAGGAGUAUUUUCUUCACUAUUCAUUUCUUAAGAGCACCCCUGUUUCUUCCCGUACAAGAAAAAAGGGAACAUUUCAUCAAAAUUUAGUUUUUGGAUUUCAGAUCAUUUCACUGUGUAUUCUAAUUAUUUAUUGUAAAUUUAGAUCUAUUUUUGAAUACAUUUCUCUUACUCCACAUAAAAAAAACUUUUUAUUUUUGAUUUCAGCAGCAACAUCUGGCUGAGAGGUUGCUGCUGCUCAUUUUUCCUUCUUAGCGUUGAGCUAUUGUAAAAAUAAAUCUGUUUU